ensembl:ncRNA C33D12.14 ncRNA
UAUGUACAUAGCUGGGCGGUCGAAAAUUAGCUGAAUGUCCUUCCAUGCCAAUCGGCUUGGAAUCGCGAAACAAAAAACCAUUUUAUUUGUUUUGUAAUUGACGGUUAGUAUGCAAAAUUAAUCGACACUU